rnacentral:lncRNA from 1 species
CCAGGCCCUGGCUUUGGCCAUCAAGGAGGCCAAACUGCAGCAUCCUGAUAUGCUGGUAACCAAAGCUGUCGUAUACAGAGAAACAGACCCAUCCCCAGAGGAGAGGGACAAGAAGCCACAGGAAUCCUGACCUCUGUGAAGAGAUCCUGGCAUUUCUGGUCCAACCCAAGCCAGAGAACCAUUAAGAAGGGGCCUUCAUUCUGGAUUCUCCGACGCAACACUGACGUCCCAGCUGCGACGUACUGUCACUGAUGAGAGACUGGGAAGGGAAAAGCAUAUAUAUAUAGAUAUAUAGAGAUAUAGAUAUAUAUACAGGAAACACCGCAUCCUUGCACUGCUGCUGGGGCUGGCAGAGCAGUUGGCUGACAGCAACAACCGACAUCUGAACACCUACAUUUCCUUUGCAGACAAAUUGAAGAACUGGUGGGAUUUUUUUCAAGAAAAAAAAUUAUAUAAUAACUAUAAUCCCUUGCUCACCCCUUUCCCCCGCCAAAUAAGAAACGCAAGCCAGACCACGAUGAUUGUAGAAGUCCCUCCCGCCCUGGUUCUGCACGUUACAGUUAGCAGACGAGCAAUUCCAUUUGUUCUUCUCCAGCAUCUCUAAGGCCCACUUGAAUGCAAAGGAAAACACUUGCACAGCAAAGCAAGAGAAGUCACAGCAGCAAGACACGCACAGUCAACCAUUUUCCGAGAAAAAAAGAAAAUUCCCCACUUGGAAAGAAAGAGGAGGAACACUGGAUUCUUACUUUCUGGAUCUUGACACUGGGCUGCAAAACCUACCUUCCUCUCUCCCGCCUCCCCUCACCCUCAACUCUCAAUGUCUUGCUGUCAUUUUCUGUCUCGGCUCCCUCCUCCCCCUUCCCCCUUCCCCCACCCCACACCCUUCACCCUCUGUGUCCUGGUCCUUCUGAGGGCCACUGCAGAUGACUCUCCUUUGAAAUGAGAAAAAGAAAAGAAAGCAAGAA